rnacentral:rRNA from 1 species
UACGAAGGGGGCUAGCGUUGCUCGGAAUCACUGGGCGUAAAGCGCACGUAGGCGGCUUUUUAAGUCAGGGGUGAAAUCCUGGAGCUCAACUCAGAACUGCCUUUGAUACUGAGAAGCUUGAGUCCGGGAGAGGUGAGUGGAACUGCGAGUGUAGAGGUGAAAUUCGUAGAUAUUCGCAAGAACACCAGUGGCGAAGGCGGCUCACUGGCCCGGUACUGACGCUGAGGUGCGAAAGCGUGGGGAGCAAACAGG